UUCGCGAAAAUUUGGCCUCCGAUUCGGUCGCGAGUGUUAUAACGGUUGCAGUGCGAACUGUUCAGAGAAAAUCGGUUCUCAGAGAAAAGCGGUCCGCAAUCGGUAACGUCUCUAACCGCGCGGGCCAUUGGUCACCAUCCGAACCCACCCCAUCAGCAGAUACCGUUCCUGGCGGCGGAUGCUAUCUCGCCGGCGUCACUGACGCGGUGGCCCAACAGCAGCAGUUUCGGCAAUAACGCAACCGUUCCUCCCUAACGCCCAACAAAGUGAUCUCACUGUAGACCGCAGGAACCGAUGCCACCAAUCUGACGCCAUACGCCACCCUGCCCCAGUUUGGUUUGGAGGCAGCAGCAGUAUUCAUCACAACGCAUUUACCUAAUCCUACGAUGGCAAAAGCAGUGGCCGCGGAUCCCGUUCGGCAACGUGGUGUCCGCCAAGGUGUUCAUCGACAAGCAAACCAACCUGUCCAAGUACUUCGGCUUGGUGUCGUUCGGCAAUGUGGCCUCGGCACAGGCCGCCAUCCAGGCGAUGCACGGUUUCCAGAUCGGCACCACGCGGCUGAAAGUGUAGUUGAAGCGUUCGAAGGACGCUUCGAAACCGUACAAGAGCCGGAAGUGAAAAAAAGUGAGGGAGGAAUUCUAAGCGCUGGUCGCGAAUAUGCUGGUAGUAAAAUCCUGAUUGAGCACGGAGGAGUUCCAGCACUUGGAGGAACCAGGAUGCAAUCGACUUCCAAGUGGCUUCGACAUAUACGAAAAGUUUUAUUCGUCAAAAACCUUGACGAUGACAGUCUGGUAGGAGAGGAUUCGUUUUCUUCAGGCAACCAUACGAGAGAUCGCCUCUAAGCUAGCAAGGACUAGAUGCUUGAGACAAAACCACAUUUUGUCGGAUGGAUUAUUCUACCGGAAGGCAAGCUGCCGUAGUUCAUCUUGAUUUCAGACGGGUCUGACGAAUACGAUGGAAAUAAUUUACAGCACAAAGCUACGAGAAUAAUUUCGGUAUUUUCGAUCCAUCCCGGAUUCCUUAGAGCUGCUCCAAAGCCUGAAUAGCAACCGUGGAGGAACAAUUCUAUGCUUCAUCUUUGUGGGUCUUGGAUCGAAACCCUUGCCACAUCCUUCUCAGAGUAUUCUUCGACUGCGAACGAACCUGCGCCAAACUUUACUGAGGCAAUUGCAUAUUGACUGCUUAGCUGCGCCGAACGUAAUGGAGAAAUCGCGGAACAAACUUCCUCUCUCGGGUAUUUUGGCGCAACGAUUCGGGUAUUCCGUUUGAUUGAUCCUGAUCCCGGAAAAGCCAGACAACGAUGAUUCAUUCCGACAUAAAUAAUUAUUAUUGUAAAACUGGAAGCAGUUUAGAUUUUAAGAUGUAAAUUAUAUUCAAUAAACUACACAGAGAAAAAAAAAGUUGGGAUUCCAACAUUUUCUAAUUUCAUUUUAAAAGUAUGUGAAAUGUGGUACUUUUAAGAGCUAAAACUUUUUAGUCAAAUGUAAAAUUGAAUAAAUUGAAAGUUUUUCUUCAGAUUAAAAUUGUGAUUUUUACAGUGAGUGCACUCAAAUCAAAAUUUGUAGAAUAGUCAAAUUAACUUUCAUAUUAUGCAUCUCUGGCAACACGGACAACGAAAAUAAUGAAACUGGCAGCUUAGCUGACCUGUCAUUAUUGAAAAUAAGAAACAAAAAGUUUACUCAACGUUUGUGCUAAAGACCGAAGAACAGCAUGUAAAGUGACACUAUGUUGACCCUGUUCCUGUACCAUCCGAGAAAGAAUUAGGAAACCGGUGUCAGUCGCGGCAUGUGUCUGAAGAAAGGAUAUGGGAGGUUUUCCCGUGAAGGUUAGAUUCGCAACAUCAUCAUCAUCUUCAUCAUCAUCAAUCACCAGAAUAUCAGAGACCAUCCAGCACAUCGGCUUUAUGAUUCCUCAAGUUUUCAAAAGUUUUCAAUUGUAAAACAUGUGAAAAUGUGUACAGUCUUUUAAUGAAAUGAAUAAAAUAAAAUAAUAAAAU